rnacentral:lncRNA from 1 species
CCCCUCGCAAAGUCUCGCGGCAUUCCGAGUCCGGCGGACGAAGUUGGCCAGCCCCACCCCCCAAGGCUAUAGCCCACCCGUUUUUGUGGCCUUUUUCCGCUGGACGAACUUCGCGCCCCGGCCUUCGGGCGGUUAUUUUUGGGCGCGGCAUUGCCCGCGGCCUAUUUUUGGCACACAGAGGCCCCUGGCAAAGUCUCGCGGCAUUCCGAGCCCGGCGGACGAAGUUGGCCAGCCCCACCCCCCAAGGCUAUAGCCCACCCGUUUUUGUGGCCUUUUUCCGCAGAACGAACUUGGGGCCCCGGUCUUCGGGCGGUUAAUUUUGGGCGCGGCUUUACCCGCGGCUUAUUUUUGGAACACGGAGGCCCCUCGGAAAGUCUCGCGGCAUUCCGAGUCCGGCGGACGAAGUUGGCCAGCCCCACCCCCCAAGGCUAUAGCCCACCCGUUUUUGUGGCCUUUUUCCGCUGGACGAACUUGGCGCCCCGGCCUUCGGGCGGUUCUUUUUGGGCGCGGCUUUGCCCGCGGCCUAUUUUUGGCGGUUAAUUUUGGGCGCGGCUUUACCCGCGGCUUAUUUUUGGCACACGGAGGCCCCUCGCAAAGUCUCGUGGCAUUCCGAGUCCGGCGGACGAAGUUGGCCAGCCUCACCCCCCAAGGCUAUAGCCCACCCGUUUUUGUGGCCUUUUUCCGCUGGACGAACUUGGCGCCCCGGCCUUCGGGCGGUUAUUUUUGGGCGCGGCUUUUCCCACGGCCUAUUUUUGGCACACGGAGGCCCCUCGCAAAGUCUCGCGGCAUUCCGAGUCCGCCGGACGAAGUUGGCUAGCCCCACCCCNNNNNNNNNNNNNNNNNNNNNNNNNNNNNNNNNNNNNNNNNNNNNNNNNNNNNNNNNNNNNNNNNNNNNNNNNNNNNNNNNNNNNNNNNNNNNNNNNNNNGGCGCGGCUUUGUCCGUUUCAGGUCUGUUAGAUAGUGGGAGUCCCCUCGCAAAGUCUCGCGGCAUUCCGAGUCCGGCAGACGAAGUUGGCCAGCCCCACACCCCAAGGCUAUAGCCCACCCAUUUUUGUGGCCUUUUUACGCUGGACGAACUUGGCGCCCCGACCUUCGUGCGGUUAUUUUUGGGCGCGGCUUUGUCCGCGGCCUAUUUUUGGCACACGGAGGCCCCUCGCUAAGUCUCGCGGCAUUCCGAGUCCGGCGGACGAAGUUGGCCAGCCCCACCCCCCAAGGCUAUAGCCCACCCGUUUUUGUGGCCUUUUUCCGCUGGACUAACUUGGCGCCCCGGCCUUCGGGCGGUUAUUUUUGGGCGCGGCUUUGCCCACGGCCUAUUUUUGGCAAACGGAGGCCCCUCGCAAAGUCUCGCGGCAUUCCGAGUCCGGCGGACGAAGUUGGCUAGCCCCACCCCCCAAGGCUAUAGCCCACCCGUUUUUGUGGCCUUUUUCCGCUGGACGAACUUGGCGGCCCGGCCUUUGUGCGGUUGUUUUUGGGCGCGGCUUUGUCCGCGGCCUAUUUUUGGCGGUUAAUUUUGGGCGCGGCUUUACCCGCGGCUUAUUUUUGGCACACGGAGGCCCCUCGCAAAGUCUCGCGGCAUUCCCAGUCCGGCGGACGAAGUUGGCUAGCCCCACCCCGCAAGGCUAUAGCCCACCCGUUUUUGUGGCCUUUUUCCGCUGGACGAACUUGGCGCCCCGGCCUUCGGGCAGUUAUUUUUGGGCGCGGCUUUGCCCGCGGCCUAUUUUUGGACACGAAGGGCCCUUCGCAAGUCUCGCGGCAUUCCGAGUCCGGCAGACGAAGUUGGCCAGCCCCACCCCCCAAGGCUAUAGCCCACCCGUUUUUGUGGCCUUUUUCCGCUGGACGAACUUGGCCCCCCGUCCUUCGGGCGGUUAUUUUUGGGCGCGGCUUUGCCCGCGGCUUAUUUUUGGCACACGGAGGCCCCUCGCAAGGUCUCGCGGCAUUCCGAGUCCGGCGGACGAAGUUGGCCAGCCCCACCCCGCAAGGCUAUAGGCCACCCGUUUUUGUGGCCUUUUUCCGCUGGACGAACUUGGCGCCCCGGCCUUCGGGCGGUUAUUUUUGGGCGCGGCUUUGCCCGCGGCCUAUUUUUGGAACAUGGAGACCCCUCGCAAGGGUUCGCGGCAUUCCGAGUUUGGCGGACGAAGUUGGCCAGCCCCACCCCCCAAGGCUAUAGCCGACCCGCUUUUGUGGCCUUUUUCCGCUGGACGAACUUGGCGCCCCGUCCUUCGGGUGGUUAUUUUCGGGCGCGGCUUUGCCCGUGGCCUAUAUUUGGCACACGGAGGCCCCUCGCAGGGUCUCGCGGCAUUCCGAGUCCGGCGGAUAAAGUUGGCCAGCUCCGCCCCCCAAUGCUAUAGCCCACCCGUUUUUGUGGCCUUUUUCCGCUGGACGAACUUGGCGCCCCGGCCUUCGGGCGGUUAUUUUUGAAGGCGGCUUUGCCCGUGGCCUAGUUUUGGCACACGGAGGCCCCUAGCAAGGCCUCGCUGCAUCCCGAGCCCGGCGGACGAAGUUGGCCAGCCCCACCCCCCAAGGCUAUAGCCGACCCGCUUUUGUGGCCUUUUUCCGCUGGACGAACUUGGCGCCCCGGCCUUCGGUGGUUAUUUUUGGGCGCGGCCUUGCCCACGGCCUAUUUUUGGUACACGGAGGCCCCUCGCAAGGUCUCGCGGCAUUCCGAAUUUGGCGGACGAAGUGGGCCAGCCCCACCCCCCAAGGCUAUAGCCCACCCGUUUUUGUGGCCUUUUUCCGCUGGACGAACUUGGCGCCCCGUCCUUCGGGCAGUUAUUUUUGGGCGCGGCUUUGCCCGCGGCUUAUUUUUGGCACAUGGAGGCCCCUCGCAAGGCCUCACGGCAUUCCGAGUCCCGCGGACGAAGUUGGCCAGCCCCACC